GCGUGUGUGUAUGUGCGGUGGUGGUGGGGGUCAGCGUGGGCGUUGAUGCUUGAAUGGCUUGGUGGCUGGCUGAUGACUCAGGUGAUGUGUCAUACUCACACACUAUAAAGGGGAACUUUCACAUAUGCCUACAAACACACACGUACUGUACACGCAUGCUGUACACACACACAUGCGCGCACACACACAUCCGCACGUUGGAUUGUUUAUUACAUACGGACCCACAACAACAUGGGACGGCGCAGAAGACAGAGCUCUUGACUAGUGAACAAAAGAAGCCAUAGUGGAACUAGAAGAAGGCUAACGUGGAGUUGAGGAGCACAAGUAUCACGGAAAGGAACCCUAGUGGAGUCGUAAGAAGAUCAAGUGAGGACAAAAGAAGCUAAAUACAGCACAAUUCCAAAAAAAGCUAUCUGUACUGCGCUUACCUUCCAUAUAGGGGCAAUCUUGCAAAUACCGAAGUCAGUUGUGACGUCAUGUUUUACAGGUGACAAAAUGGCACCGUCCGCGGUCUGCCCGUUGGUUUUCCCCGUUCGUAUUCGGCUUUUGGGCUCGACCCGGCACCGAGUUUUCAUCCUUGUUUUGUUAGGGCCGCCGUCGCUUUUCGCUUCCAAGUAUUCUGAAACGUUGGGUGGGCGUUUUCAAAUGGCCUAGUGAGGGUCAUGUGACCCAGGUGGCGGAACUCUAUUGGGCGAUGCUCGUCAACCUCUUGAGUGGCAGACACCUUCGACUGGCCGACGGCGUGUCCGUGACGCUCCCAAAAAAAUACUUUGAAAAAGUGGCGCGCCACAACAACAACAAAUGAAGCAACAUAAAUGUACCAAUAAAGAUGCGGGUGUGUCGUGUCAGGCCGUCGCAAAUGAUUCAAA